AAUUCUAGGUUGGUGGUUUUUCUUCUUUCAACGCUUUAAAUAUUUCACUUCACUGUCUUCUUGCUUGCAUGGUGUCUGAAGAAGCCCACUGUUAUUCUUAUCCUUAUUACUCUAUAGGUAAAAUGAUUUUCCCUCCCUCCUCUGACUUCUUUCAAGAUACUUCUCUGUCUUUGAUUUUCUGAAGGUUGAAUAUGAUAUGGGUAGGUGUUAUUUUUUCAGUUUAUUUCUGUUACAGUGUUUUUGAUUUCUAGCAUUUACUUUUGACUCUUUCUUAGAAUUUUCAUCUCUCUGCUUUCGUUACCCAUCUGGUCUUGCAUGUUGUAUACUUUUUCUGUUAGAGCCCUUAACAUAUUAAUCACAGUUAUUUUAAAUUACCUUUCUGAUAAUUCCAACAUAUGUGUCAUAUCUGAGUCUGGUUCUGAUGCUUGUUUCCUGUCUUCAGACUUUGUUUUUUGCUUGCCUUUUAGCCUGGCUUGUAAUUUUUUGUUGAAAGCUGGACAUAUUGUAUUGGGUAAUAGGAACUGAGAUGAAUAGGCCUCUAGUGUGAGCUGUAUGUUCAUCUGGGCUAGGAGUUGGGUUGUUUCAUGUUUGUUGUAGCUCUUGGUGCUAGAGGCUUUGAAUUCCUCUAGGGUGCUUGUUUUUAUUUCCCUUCUUUGGGCUUCCGUAAGUUCUCCUUCUCAGAGAGAACCAGUGUCUUGCAGAUCUGUAAGCACCAAUCCACUGUUGCACUGGAGCCCUGUUGGUAUGUUGGUGAGACAUGUGGGAGAGGAGUAAUCUCUAAUCUUAUGAUUAAGUCUCAAGUCUCUUAGUGGGCUUGAGUCUCUGGCACGUGACCAUCACAUAUGGUAGCUUUCCCAUCCGUCUUAGGUGAGAUGGGAAGGCUAGAAGGGGCUGGAGUGAGAGGAAUGCCCUUCCCCACAGCUUUAGGACAAAGCUCUGGUAAAGUCUUUCCCCUCGGGAGUAGAUCUCUGUUAUUUAGAAAGCCCUUGGCAUAUUUCACAAGCAUUACUCUUCCCCUCCACCUGCCAGACCAUGAGGGAAUGUUCCUCUGAUCUUCACCAUAAGAAACCAGUGGGUUUCCUAGAGGUAAUGCUCACUGAAGCAGCGCUUCCUCUAAGACUGGUUCCCACUGCUGAUCCCACCAGUUUAUGGCUCCAGCACUUCUGCUCCAGGUAAGUAGAUCUUGGCUGUGACUCCAGAUUUGUCUGUCUCUCCACGUUUUGGGGAGACAGUUUGCCCUGUAAACUCAGUUCUCUGAUGAGUCCAAGAAAAGUCAUUGAUUUUCAGUUUGUCCAGUUUUUUUCUGUAAGGACUGGAGUGACAACUUCCAAGCUCUUUUUCUGUUGGAACUGAAACAAAGUCCAAUGUACUCUUUAUAUGGCCUUCCAUUAUACAAAUAAUCUAAAAAAUGAACAUUAGUAGAAGGGAAAAUCCCCAAAGACACUAAUGGUUUUGUUUCUGAAAUAAUUUAGAAGUAGCAGUCAAAAAACUGAAGAAAUACAAGAAAAACCUUUUGAGCAAAUAAUGUGGUCAAUUGCUUUUUAAUAACAUUUUUUCCUCCAUUCAGAGAUAACCAGUUAACAUAUUGCUAUAUUUCUAUUUAUUUUUCUUCACAGUGAACAGAUAGAAACACAUGCCACCAAAAUUGGGGUCAUACUAGUGUCCUUUUAUUAGUCUACCUCGCUUUCAUUCACUGAGUGUUAUAUUUAACCAUUUUCUCAUGUCAUUUAAGUAUUCUUUAAAACUAUGUAUUUAGCAUCUGCAUAAAAAAUUCAUUAUAAGGAUGUAUUGUAAUUUAACAGUUAUGUGUUUGAACAUAUUACUGUGAUGAACAUCCUGUGCAUAAAUUCUUGUGUACCUCUCAAAAUUUUCUUAAAAUUGCUAGAAACAGAAUUACUAGAUGAAGAGUUACUGAUAUUGAGAAGUUAUUAAUAUCAUGCUUUUGAUAUAGAUCAAUUGCUUUUUGGGUGGUAAAGAGGUUUUUUUUUUUUUUUGAGGAAGAUUAGCCCUGAGUAAGAUCAGAGCAUGGCUUGAUAAGCAAUACAUAGGUCCAUGCCUGGGAUCCUAACCAGCGAACCCCGGGCCACCAAAGCAGAGCACAAGAACUUAACCGUGGCGCCACUGGACUGGCCCAAAGGUUUUUCAGUAGAGGUGCCUUGGGUGCAGUUUUGAGAGCCAAGCAUCCCACAGGACUCUCUUCUCACCUUCAUUUAGCACCAUGCUGUCUCUGACCCCACCUUUUGUAGUUUUAGCGUAGAAUAUUUUGUGACAUUUGAGUAUCAUGAGAAAUUGAGUACAGAGAAAAGAACGUGAGCUUUAUAAUCAGACAAACUAGGUGAGUCUCUGAUUAUCUACAACUUAAGUAAUUUACCUUUCCUGAGCUUCUUCAUUUUUCUCACUUGUAAAAUGGGGAUAAUAGCUUCCUUUCCAGGUGAUUGUGAAAAUUAAACAUCAUUCAUUCAACUUUCAUUGAACAAAUGAUUGAGUGCCUACAUGUGACUAUGCUGGGUGCUAAGGAUACAAUGAUAAACAAAAGCACGCUAGACUGUUUUUGUUUUGAGCUUUCAGUCUGCUGGGAAAGACAUCCAUCACAUAAGCCUGUAAGUUAAAAAUGGAACUGUGACCUUGAGCUCUAAGAGCAUCUGACAGGCAGAUCGGACCUCAGGGGGUCAGAGAAGGCUGGGCUGCUCUGUGGAGGCGAUGAUGGAGGGGAGAUGUGAAGACAAGGAGGUGACUGGGCGUGGAGGGUAGGAUGGAGAUGUCAUCACCACCCUCCCUGAACCAGACCAAGCCUCACCACAAGAGCUACACCUAUGACCUUUGCCUUAUUUUUAAUGCUAAGAUCUCUCCAGGAGGAGCUUAGGCCUUAUCACUGUAACCCGCAGUGUGUGUGGAAGAAUGUCUUCUAACUGAGCCUGCGCAAGCGAAUACCCAUCUCUCCCUUUUGAAUAUUCAUUCCCCAUCCGAAAUAAAUGUCCCUGCUUCCCUUUCUUCGGGGACGCCGGAACUCUGGAAAUGAUUCCUCGUGGUCUCCUAUUUGCCACAAAUAUACUUUACUGUGAGACAACUCCUUCUGGUGGAGAGUCUGAUUUAACUCACCAGGAAGGAACCCACUUCGGUUUCGGUAACAAUACGAAGCCAGCUCUGGGCUCUGUACCAACUUCCUUGUUCCCUAUUCACUCUCUGUUUUUCUCUUCCUUGUUCCUUCUUCUUUAUCCCAUAAAAGCUUCCUGGCUUCCAGCCAUUUUGCAGUUCUCUGGACCCUUAGGAAUAGAGACUACUCACUUCAUGAGCUUUAAUGCUUUGUGUUAAAUAAAGUUUGUUUGUAUCGCCUAAA